GGUCAAGAAGAGAAGCGCAAACGGUGGAUGCCUUGGCAGUAAGAGGCGAAGAAGGACGUGGAAUCCUGCGAAAAGCUAUGGGGAGCUGGAAACGAGCGUUGAGCCAUAGAUGUCCGAAUGGGGGAACCCGGCUGCAGCGAUGCGGUCAUUUGCAUUUGAAUACAUAGGAUGCAAAGGCGAACUCGGGGAACUGAAACAUCUAAGUACCCGAAGGAAAAGAAAUCAAGAGAGAUUCUCCAAGUAGCGGCGAGCGAACGGGGAGGAGCCUGGCGUGAUUUAUUAUUGAACUGAGUAGAACAAUUUGGGAAAGUUGGCCGUAGAGGGUGAAAGCCCCGUAUACGAAGGUUUGAUGAGGAACUAGGCACGCGAACAAGUAGGCCGGGACACGUGAAAUCCUGGUUGAAGAUGGGUGGACCAUCAUCCAAGGCUAAAUACUACUUACUGACCGAUAGUGAACCAGUACCGUGAGGGAAAGGUGAAAAGAACCCCGGAGAGGGGAGUGAAAUAGAAUCUGAAACCGUUU
rnacentral:rRNA from 1 species